GACGUGACAAGCUGGAUGUCCAUAGGGCGGCCAUCCAAAGGGACGCCCUUGUACUGCUUCAUAGCCUUCAGGGCAUCUGCCCUCCGUUCAAAGUGUACAUCCGCCGUCCCUAAACUUCGUCCAGAGCGAUCGUAGUCCACAGCGGCUUUUUUCAACGUUCCAAAUUCAGCAAAGAGUUCCUGAAUGUCAGCAUCUGACACCCCGAAGUCCAGGUUUGACACGAGCAGCUUGGCACCGGUCUCCACGCCUUCCCCACCCCCGCAGCCGCUGUCGAAUAGGUCGUGCUGCCACUUGUCCGGAAGUGGUUUCGGUCUACUGUACGGUGCCGGCCGGUUCCUGCCGCCGCGGGCGAUGGCGGGCCGGUUCCUCCUAGGCCCGCCGCCUCGAUUCACCCGGCGCUGGUUACGGUUCAGCUUAAUGAUGUCGUCCAAAGACAUGUCCAUCUUGUCGGCCAUGGCGGGCGCGGAUCCGGGCCUGACUGGCCCGGCCCUCGCGGUGCAGACCAGAAAGUACUCAAAUUCAAUGAUUCCCCCGCCUUGACUCCGCCUCUCCGACCGGUGCUGGAAUCACAAGCGCACCAAAAUCACACUUGGAAAUUGGAAGUCUGUGCGCUUGUGAAUCUGGCUUUCGCUCUGACCCCUGGUGGCCGCCCAGCGCCUAGAGACAUCUGGGACAAAUUCGAGGCACUUCCGGAAACCGAGCGGGCCACGCGGCUUCUCCGCGAUAUUUGCAUACCCACAAUGCAGUGCACACAGAUGGUUGUAUAAUUUAAAAGGGUAGCGUGUUGUUUUCGUUGUUCUGUUUUAUUCCUUUUAUUCCUUAAUGUGAUAGAACCUUCAAAGAUUUAUCUGAUAUAAUAAAGUAGUCAGUGUCUUUAGGAGUAAAUAGUCACCAUUAGUUGUCUAGGAAAUACAGUCGGCCGAGAACUGUACACUAGGACAGCUGGGUAUACUCUGGUUUCUCUUCAGAUCGUAUAAAUCUUUCGCCUUUUACUAAAGAUUUCCGUGGAGAGGAACAAUUCUGAGUCUUACACUAAUUUUUUGAGGCCUUGCUUUAGCAAGGCUAUUAAUAAUGUUUAAAGUUAGAAUUAACAGUCUUUAUUGUGUGCUCUAUGUAUUUUUUUGUCUUCAGUGUUAACCAAAGUUAGAAUUAACAGUCUUUAUUGUGUGCUCUAUGUAUUUUCUUGUCUUCAGUGUUAACCACUGUAAGGUAAAAAUGGCUUGAGCUUAGGCUAAAGAGACAGCUCAUUGGUUAAAAGGGCUCAGUCGCAUGGCGUUGUGUCUCAUAACCGAUAAAGUAAAUAAGCCUUUAAAAGCAAAUACUAAGUUUUUGUGGGAAGUCUGUAGACAUGUUAUUUAUUAAGCUGUUUUUUAUCUAGCUGCGUUAUGUUGUGGUCUCAGUGAACAUAUGUAUAAACCAUUAUUUUUAAUAUUUUAUUUAAGUGCAAGGUGGUUAUGGACUUAAGGCACGUACAAUUUUCUAGCAAGAUGGCUAACCCAGCUCUGUAGCUGAGGAAGAACUAGCGCCCCCUUCUGACUUCCAUCAGUGCCAAGCAACGCUCAGAUACGCAGGCAAAAUAUUCAUACAAAUAAAGGCAGAUACAUUCUAAAAAAUAAAUGCAGCCACUCGAGCAGAAGGGACAGGUUACCCUCAGAGCUGUGGGAGGGGCUAGACUAUGAUGCAAUUCCCCAUCUCCCCCCAGUCCCUCCCCCCCCAAAAAAAUGAAAACUACUCUCCCACCCAAGACCUUUCCCUUAAGGACAGAGACUGUCCCUUUGAAAUACCUCAGUCUCCUUAUAGCUAAAAUACCUCAGUAAUAAGAACAGGUAACAAGGGGGCUGGAGAGAUGGCUCAGUGGUUAAGAGCACCGACUGCUCUUCCGAAGGUCCGAAGUUCAAAUCAGCAACCACAUGGUGGCUCACAACCAUCCGUAAUGAGAUCUGACUCCCUCUUCUGGUGUGUCUGAAGACAGCUACAGUGUACUUAGAUAUAAUAAUAAAUAAAUCUUAAAAAAAAAAAAAAAGAACAGGUAACAAAGUGGCAGGAACUUCAAACACAGAAUGCCCUCGGUCUGCUUGGCAAAGCAUCUUUGGCUCUGCCCACCAAAGUACACUGGAAAGGAAGUUGAACUUUCUCUCUUCCUGGAACAGACUUGAAAUCAUGGAAAGGCUCUUGGAUGUCUCCUGGAUGGGCUACUGCACUGACCAGUUCAUUGCCUGCUUCACGCCUCACUUCUGUUUCUACAAAAUUCCCUGGGAUAAACGCUCCACAGUGCCCCACCUGGGGCCUACUUCUGCUGGAUAGGAGCUCCCACAACUCCCACCUGUAACCCUAUAACAAAUCUCCCUUCUAACCUCUCGGAAAUUCCUUCUCUGCUUUGCAAAACAAAGGACCUGAAAGCCAACGGUUUGGGUGCCUCUAGUGGCCAUUGGAUAGCCUGACACCUUAACACUCCAAGCUAUCCAUGACUGAAGCAAGAAAGUUUCCAAAGAUACUUUCCCACUUUUCUUUAUCAUCCUCAGUGUCAUCAAUAGGUGAGGGCGGGAGUAUAGGGAGUUCACGGUCCAGCCUGGGAUACCUGCCUAAAGAAAACAAUAAAAUAAAGAAACAGGAUGGACAUACCAUGGAUAGCCGAACAUGUCCAGCAGAGAACAAAAGAGUGUUCAUAAUUGCAUCAGUUGCUUUCCUGUUGCUGUGAUAACAAAACCAAAGAAAAGUUCAUUUUGGCUAGGAACCCAGAGAGAGAAUCCAUAACAGUAGGGGGAGGCAUAGCAACAGGGGGAUGGAGCAGAAAGCAGAUCACAUCUUCACCUUUAAACACAAUGCAGAGAGAAUAAACCGGAAGCAAGGAAAGGCUAUAAACUCUCAGAGCCCACCACCCCCCAAUCGACAUCCUUCUGCCAACACAGUCAGACCUAAAGGUUCCGUAUCAGUCCCCUACCCAGCACCACUAACUAGAGAUCAAGUGUUCACUCACCCAAGCUCACCAGGGACAUUUCUCCUUCAACCCACCACAAUAAUGGAAUUUGAUUCUUCUGUGGAUAAUUGUAGGCUUGGGUUGACCUCUAAGGGUUGUUUUAAGGUUUACAAAUUCAUGAUAACACAUGGAGAACAUGUUAGAUACAUAUUUAGUUUUUUAAGUGUUGGCCUCACUGUCUGCUCCUGAUCCAUGGAUAAAAUAUAAUUGAAGGAAAACCAAAGCAAGACUUCUUGCUUGGGAGAAGAGUGGUCAGAUGUAAGGAACACUGUAGGUCAGAGAACACCACCGCUAACCCAAGGUCCAUUCUAUACAUUUUAGGUAGGAUUUCUGUUGCUAUGAUAAAACGCCAUUAGUCAGGAUUCUCUAGAGACGCAGGAAUCACAGGAUGUCUCUAUAUAUUAAGGGAAUUUGUUGUGAUAACAACGGGCAGCUGUGAAUGGGAAGUCCAAGCAUCUAGUAGUUGCCACGAGGCUAGUUAUUUAAGCUGGUCUUCUGUAGAAGUAGGUUUCAACAGACGUACUGGCAAGAGCAAGCAGUUGAAGAAGAGUGAAUCUUCCCUCUUCC
rnacentral:lncRNA from 1 species